rnacentral:rRNA from 1 species
UACCUGCAGCCCGAGUGGUGCUCGUUAUUAUUGGGUCUAAAUCGUCCGUAGUCGGCUGCGUAGAUGCUUGGGUAAAUCGAGGCGCUUAACGUCUCGAAUUCCAGGUAGACCGCGCGGCUAGGGACCGGGAGAGGUUCGAAGUACUCCGGGGGUAGGGGUAAAAUCCUGUAAUCCUCGGGGGACUACCAGUGGCGAAGGCGUCGAACUAGAACGGCUCCGACGAUCAGGGACGAAGCCCUGGGGCGCAAACGGG